rnacentral:rRNA from 1 species
UACGAAGGGGGCUAGCGUUGCUCGGAAUUACUGGGCGUAAAGCGCACGUAGGCGGAUUGUUAAGUCGGGGGUGAAAUCCUGGAGCUCAACUCCAGAACUGCCUUCGAUACUGAAGAUCUCGAGUUCGGGAGAGGUGAGUGGAACUGCGAGUGUAGAGGUGAAAUUCGUAGAUAUUCGGAAGAACACCAGUGGCGAAGGCGGCUCACUGGCCCGGUACUGACGCUGAGGUGCGAAAGCGUGGGGAGCAAACAGG